rnacentral:rRNA from 1 species
CCUACGGGAGGCAGCAGUGGGGAAUAUUGGACAAUGGGCGAAAGCCUGAUCCAGCCAUGCCGCGUGUGUGAAGAAGGCCUUCGGGUUGUAAAGCACUUUCAGUGGGGAAGAAAGCCUUGGGGCUAAUACCCUCGAGGAAGGACAUCACCCACAGAAGAAGCACCGGCUAACUCCGUGCCAGCAGCCGCGGUAAUACGGAGGGUGCGAGCGUUAAUCGGAAUUACUGGGCGUAAAGCGCGCGUAGGCGGUCUGAUAAGCCGGUUGUGAAAGCCCCGGGCUCAACCUGGGAACGGCAUCCGGAACUGUCAGGCUAGAGUGCAGGAGAGGAAGGUAGAAUUCCCGGUGUAGCGGUGAAAUGCGUAGAGAUCGGGAGGAAUACCAGUGGCGAAGGCGGCCUUCUGGACUGACACUGACGCUGAGGUGCGAAAGCGUGGGUAGCAAACAGGAUUAGAUACCCCGUUAGUC